AUGCAUCUGGGCAAGAGAAGGGUUCUG
rnacentral:miRNA from 1 species